GACAAUGCUGCAAAACAUACAGGACCAGUAGUUGAAAAUCUGCAUAACCCUGAAGCAGUUAAACAGAAAGGAAGGCCAAAAAAACCUACAAGGUUAAAGCCACUAGUGGAGGAAAUCCGCAUCAAGAUGAAGAAGGCAGAGCAAAAGAAAAACAAGAAAACAAGCAAUGCAGCAGCAAGCCCACAAGGAAAGGAGAAGAAGAUGAAAAGAACAGCACCUUGAAUAAUUACUACUCCCCCUCCUAACAGAACCACGAACACUCACACUGAAAAAGAUGCAGAAAAAAUAGAGAGAAAAAUGAAGAACACUUAGUGGAGAAAGGGGAAGGGAUGGACUGUGCAAUUAUGAUAUAUUCAUAUAGUUGGUGCAAACAACAAAAAAAGUUUGUUUUUCUUUCAGUUGAGUCAUGUAAUCGCUUGCAAAAACAAAGUGUUGAAAAACAGAUCAUGCUUGCCUGAUUA